rnacentral:rRNA from 1 species
UGAUUGCGGUGAGGGUCCACCUGUUCCCAUUCCGAACACAGAAGUUAAGCUCAUCUGCGCCUACGAUACUUGGCUGGCGACGGCCCGGGAAAAUUGGUAGUGCCAACA